rnacentral:rRNA from 1 species
UACGGAGGGGGCUAGCGUUGUUCGGAAUUACUGGGCGUAAAGCGCGCGUAGGCGGACCUGCAAGUCGGGGGUGAAAGCCCCGGGCUCAACCUGGGAAUUGCAUUCGAGACUGAAUAGCUAGGGUACGGUAGAGGGAAGCGGAAUUUCCGGUGUAGCGGUGAAAUGCGUAGAUAUCAGGAGGAACACCAGCGGCGAAGGCGGCGCUCUGGGCUGGCACUGACGCUGAGGAGCGAAAGCGUGGGGAGCGAACAGG